CCUACGGUGUGCAGCAGUGGGGAAUAUUGCGCAAUGGGCGAAAGCCUGACGCAGCGACGCCGCGUGAGGGAUGAAGGUCUUCGGAUCGUAAACCUCUUUUAGCAGGGAAGAAAGGUCACUGUGCUAAUCAGCAGUGAAUUGACGGUACCUGCAAAGGAAGCACCGGCUAACUCCGUGCCAGCAGCCGCGGGAAUACGGAGGGUGCGAGCUUUAAGCGGAAUUACUGGGCGUAAAGCGCGCGUAGGCGGGAUGUCAAGUCAAGGGUGAAAGCCCCGGGCUCAACGUGGGAACUGCCUUUGAAACGGGCAAACUGGAGUGUGUGAGAGGAUAGUGGAAGUCCAGGUGUAGGAGUGAAAUCCGUAGAUAUCUGGAGGAACAUCAGGGGCGAAGGCGACUAUCUGGCACAUAACUGACGCUGAGGAGCGAAAGCGUGGGUAGCAAACAGGAUUAGAUACCCUUGUAGUC
rnacentral:rRNA from 1 species